CAUCACUUAUGUUAACAUUUGCAGCUAUCGGUAUGAGAAAGUAAGUUUUACGCUAAUGUUGUUAGCUUAGCCAGUUAGCUUACCUAGACGACGGUCCACCUUCCUCGUUGUCGCAAUCAGCCACAAUGUGCUUCCUUUUCAGGUGCUCGUGCAUCGCACUUGUACUGUUGUGGAAGGCAAGUUUUGCCUUGCAGAUAACGCAUUCGACAGCUUUUUCUUCUGUUUUCUUAAAAUGUUCCCACACUUUAGAAGUCCGUUGCCGGGUAGCCAUGAUGAUACAAAAGCCCGUCUGGUUUUACUUCCGGUGACAUCACGUCUGACCCCGAUUACCUCUACUGCGCAUGUGUGCCAUGGACAGAAACGCAGAGGCGGCAGUGGAAAAUGCCGCUGCAGGUUUCUUUUUAAAAUAACGAAGCUUCGACUAUUAAAUUAGUUGUCGACAAUUAAAAUAGUCGACAUAAUCGUGACUAGUCGACUAAUUGUGGCAGCCCUAUUACAGAGGCAGCUGAUGGCAGGGUAGUCUGGAGGUCUG